CAAAAAGAGGGCGGGCUUCAGUGCACAUGAGAGGUCAAGGAGGAGGAGGCGGCCUGGACUUGGCCAGCACCAAGUCACUGGAACUUCCUAAGUUUCCAUGGGACUGGAGGACCAAAGCCAGAAUGCUUAGGAAGGGAGGUGAUGGGGAAACACGCUUGAUGUUUGUUCUAUUCUCCAUGGGAAGUUUCGCCAUUAAGGGGGAAGGAGGGGAAAGAUUCAGCUAUGACUAGAAGCAUGCGAGGGUCAAGCUCAUUCCUGGGGGGGGGGGGAAUCCCCCCCAGUUUAGAUUUGGGCAUAAGGGAAGGAAAUAAUGAAGGAAUCAGAAAGCUAUAAUAGGGGAAACCAUCAAUGACAAGGAUGAUAACGAAAGAGAGGGCUUUUCAAAUGUCUCAUUUGGUUUUCACAACAACUCUAUGAGGUAGGUAUGUCUUCUUCCCCUUACAGAUGAGGAAACUGAGACAGGUAGGAGUGAAAUGACUUGUCUAGAGUCACACAGUCACUAUGAGUCUAGGUUGGAAUUCCAAUCUCCCUAACUCCAGGGGCCACAAUGAGAGAAGGUGUUUGUGGAAGGAGGAAGAGAUACAAUCUGGAUCACAGGCUCUUAUGGAAGGAGGGAUAAAAAAUCAACUUAAUGGGCAGCUAGGUGGCUCAGUGGAUAGAGCACCAGACCUGGAGUUGGGAGGACCCAUGUUUAAAUCUGACUUCAAGCCAUUUCCUAGCUGUGUGAUCCUGGGCAAGUCACUUAACCCUGACUGCUCUUCUUUGAACUGAUACUAAGACAGAAGGGUAAAGUUGUUUGUUUAUUUGCUUUUUUUAAACCCUUAUUUUCUGGCUCAGAAUCAAUACUGAAUAUCGGUCCCAAGGCAGAAGAGGAGUAAGGGCUAGGCAAUGUGGGUUUAGUGACUUGCUCAGGAUGAUACAGAUAGAAAGUGUUUGAGGCCAGGACCUCCUGCCUCCAAGUCUGGCUCCAGAUCCACUGGACUGCCUAAUUGUCCUUGUAGGUAAGGACUUUUUAAAACAUUAAUUUGAGAAACAUCUAUUAAGUGGCUACUGCAGGAGUAAGUCCUGUGCACUUAGGAAUGGUGAUAUCAAGACAUAAAACAGACUCAAAGAGCUCGAAAUCUAAUAGGACUGAAAGUCAUGUACACAAAAUAACCAGAAUCCAAGGGAGAGUGAGAUAAGAGAGUAAGAUAGAGGUCCAGGCAAAGGGCCACAGGAAUUUGAGGAGGGAGAGAUCACUUUUGUCUGGGGGUGGAGAAAACACUAAGGAAGCAGCACCUGGGUUAGGCCUUGAAGAAAGGGAAGAACAGUAGCCAGAAGGGAUUAGAGAAGGGAGGGAGGGUCUAUUCUGGGACUCGGGAGAUGGUGUGAGCAAAGGUGAUGACCAGAGAGGCAAAGACAGGAAGAAAAAUUUUUGCUGGAGUAACUGGCAAGAAAAGAUGGAAGAGCAUGUUGGAGCUGGCCUGAGACGGGUCCUGGAACACCAAGAUCAGGAAUUUUGAAAAGGAGAAACAGGCAACGUCUGACAUCCCUCACACUUCAGAGAACAAGGGAGCUGCACUCCAGGAACCAAGGAGGGGGUGACAAGAGAGGCCUUCAAAGCACCCGUCGACGGAUGGCUAAGUGUGAUUUCAACCUCUGCAUAAGACCAAGAAAUGCAAAUUCUCCAUCUCAGGCAGCAAACCAGUUUCUCCAUCUGUAGUGAUUUGGACCACACGGUCUGAGAUUCUUCCUGGCCAUAACCAGAUAUGCAACUAAAUCACAGCCUCGAUCUGGGUCACAGCCUCUUCACAUGGAAACUGUUAAGACCCCCAUGGGAAGCCCUCCCCACUGGGGAGCUAAGAAGAUCCAGGUGGCCCUGCACUCGGCUAGCAAAGAUGGGUGGGCUAGCUGCAUGUAAAUUGAGUGGUAAACUAACCAUGAAGAAGUCUGAGAAUAAAUAAUAAGUGGCACACUCCCCGGAAGGAUGCGGAGCAACAUUCAAGGAUGUAGGCAAUGGAAUAGGCUUUCAUGGCUUUGGGGAGAGACAUAUACACAUGAAAAGUUAAAGGAACCAGCCCGGAUAUGGCAGAAAGGGCACUUUAUUGUUAGUCAUAAUACUCCCCCCCCCCCCAGGCCCACUUUUAAAGUAGACUUGCAAAGCCUGGAGUGGAAAGCUGGGAUACCAGCUCCCCCUAUUCCAGCCACCCCUAAAACACACAAGGGGGGGAGGGAGAGGGAGAGAGAGAGAGAGAGAGAAACAGACAGACAGACAGAGACAGACA